UACGGGGGGGCAAGCGUUGUUCGGAAUUACUGGGCGUAAAGGGCUCGUAGGCGGCCAUCUAAGUCAGACGUGAAAUCCCUCGGCUUAACCGGGGAACUGCGUCUGAUACUGGAUGGCUAGAGGUUGGGAGAGGGAUGCGGAAUUCCAGGUGUAGCGGUGAAAUGCGUAGAUAUCUGGAGGAACACCGGUGGCGAAGGCGGCGAUCCUGGACCAAUUCUGACGCUGAGG
rnacentral:rRNA from 1 species